GUGAAUACUAGCCAAUCGAAAUCAUCCACGUUAGAAAACGUGCAUGUAUAAAAUGUCUAUUCAAUGUACGGUCAUCAUUUAAACUACUCGUGUAUUCUAGUUUAGAGGAAGUAUUGCAUAAGGGCAAAAAACGAAACAGAGUAUUCAAAAAUCUCGACGAUUUAGACCUCCCUGAAUUUACUGAGCUGAUUAAAAUGAAGUUCGCAUUUUUUCUUCUUCUGGUGUGUAUGGCAAAUCUCUUUGUUGAAACAGACAGUUGUUGCACAUAUAGUGGAGGCUGUUCAACCCAUAAAGAUUGUUGCACAUCAUAUGUUUGUCACCGAUAUGGUGCCGGACAAAAAAGAUGUGUUGCAAAUGGUAGAAAAUAAAAAGUAAAGUAUGUUGUAGGGCGCUGUAAAAUAAUACGUUGCGUUGGGGUUGUUUCUGCUGUAAACAAAGAACAACAAUAUCAUUUUCUCUAAAAUUAAGCACUCCACACCUUAGCCGUCCAUCCUUCUGUCAUCGCUAUAGAUUUUGGAACCAUAAACGUUAACAUCGCACCAUGCUGUGCUUUUCAUUGCA